rnacentral:rRNA from 1 species
GAUCCUGGCUCAGGAUGAACGCUAGCGGCAGGCCUAACACAUGCAAGUCGAGGGGCAUCACAGGUAGCAAUACCGGGUGGCGACCGGCGCACGGGUGCGUAACGCGUAUGCAACCUACCCAUAACAGGGGGAUAACACUGAGAAAUUGGUACUAAUACCCCAUAACAUCAGAACCGGCAUCGGUUUUGGUUGAAAACUCCGGUGGUUAUGGAUGGGCAUGCGUUGUAUUAGCUGGUUGGUGAGGUAACGG